CAAAGUGCUGGGAUUACAGGCGUGAGCCACCACAUCCGGCCCAUUAUUGGUUUCUUAUGUAUCCUUUCAGAAUUUCUUUAUGAAUAUACAGACAUAUAUGAACAUAAAAUCUUAUUCUAAUCGAAUUUUUCUUAUGCAAAAACAGCAUAUCAUAUACACUAUUCUGUAUCCUGCUCUUUUUACUAAUAUAUAUUGGAAACAUUCGCGUAAGUCUAUAGUAGAGACCUUACUCCUUUUUUUUAGGCAUGUGUAGUGUAUAGCAGACAGAUUGUAAGAAUAUAUAAUAAUUGAUCUAUUCCCACUUAAUAAAUUUUUUUAGUUGUUUCCAUUUUCAAUUACAGAAAAUUCUCCAAUAAUGAACUUGUAUAUAUUUGCCAUUUUCUACAUGUGAAGUCUAUGUGUCUGAAGGAUAAAGUCCCAAAAGUGGGAUUGCUAGGUAAAAGGACAUAAGCAUUUGUAAUAAUGAUGGAUAUUGCCAAAUUACUUACUAUGAAAAUUAUAGCUACUUAUACUCCCUCAGGAGCAAUAUGUCUAUUUCCUCACGAUAUUGCCAACUGAGUCUUAUCUAACUUUUGAUGUUUGCCAGUCUGAUAGAUGAAAAAUGUGUCCUCUAAGUAUAAUGUACUAUUCUUAUUAUGAGUGAGUUGAACAUCUUUUGAAUAUGUCAAAGCCAUUUGUAUUUCCUUUCUGUUAACUUUCUGCUCAUAGUUUCUGCUCACUUUUGGGAUCCUUUCCUUGUUAAUUUGUAGAAGGCCUUUAUUGAGUAGGGAGAUUAGCCCUUUGUGAUAUGUGUUGCCACUUUGUUAAGUCAUUUGUCUUAUGUUUUUUAUUUGACAUGCAGAAGUUUUCAUAUAUACGUAGCCAAAUUUAUCAAUUUUGUUUAAUGCCUUUUAGAUUUGGGGUCAUAGAAAAGCCAUCCCCACCCCCAUAUUAUAAAGAACUCUCCCAUGUUUUCUUCUAGUAUUUUCUUGUUUUAUUAAAUUUUCAUUGAAAUAUUUAGAUUUGGACUUUAUUCACAAAUAAAGUACAGUGUGAGUUAAGGAUCCAAUUCUGUUUUUCCAAAUGGUUACCAAAAUGUUCCAGUACCACCUAUGUCAAAUAGUAAGUUUUCUUAUGCUUCUGAUUCUAUUUCUGUAGUUUUUACUGUAAUCAUUGGUGCUUAUAUAAUUUGUUUUAUUGCUCUGUAAUUCUGGGCCUUCUUCAUUGCUCUUCCUUUUCAGAGCUUUCCUGGCUAUUUGGCUGUUUAUUUUUCCAUAUAAGUUUUAGGAUCACACUGUGUACUGAAAACAAAGUUGAUAUUUGUUACUUGCUUUUUAUUAGUAUUUUAAAUAAAAUUUGUAAAAGUGUAUAUAUAUAUAAAAUACUAAUUCUUUUCGAUUUUUAAAUGUCUUUCAGAGGCAAUUUACAGUUGUUUAUAUACAUAUAUUGCAUUCUUUUUAGUUUUAUCUUUUUUGUUGCUAUUAUAAAUUGGAUUUUUAAAAUUACAUAUUAUAUUGUAAUAUGUAUAUAAGAAAGCUCUUUAUUUUCUACCUCACUACCCUACUGAAUUUUUCUAUUCUUAUCUUGGAUUUUCUAUGUACUAAUAGUAAUACUAAUAGUCAUAGUUUUAAAUUCUUUCCAAUUUUGUACCUCAAAUUUAUUUCUCUUGUAUUAUUUAUUUUUUCAGUAGCUAGAGUACAAUAAUAAUUAUAGCGAUGAGAGUUGGCAGACUUGUCUUGUCCCUGGCUUUAAUGAGAAAUGAUUGUAAAGUUUGAUCAUAAUUAUGAUGCUAACUUUUGGUCAGGGAUAAGUAUAAUUUUCAUUUUAAGGAAAUAUCAAUGGAUUUAUAUUUCAUUAAAAUUUUUUAAAUAAUAAGUAGUUGUUGAAUUUUGUCAAAUGCCUGUUCACCAUCUGUGGAAGUCAUUAUAUGAUUCAGGAUUAUAUGAUUUUUCAUUGUAUAUGUAUUAAUAUUAUAUGUACUAAUAAAGAUCUGUGAAAGUUGUCAGAAUCAA
rnacentral:lncRNA from 10 species